ensembl:lncRNA
AUGUCACGAUUACUCAAGCAGUACUUCACCUCUAUGGUGCAAGAAAUAAUUCCGCUUGGUGCUCCGCGACGUGACAGUGUAGCUGCCACACCACAUCCUGUGUCAGGUAGUCCACGUAUUGAACCUUCUGAGAAGAAUCCAAAAUUCUUGAACUCCCUGCCUAAUUGCAUCCAGCCCACCAAAAACCCUGAGCUGGAGCAGAGGGGCAAGAACACUUCAGUUGCACUCAAAGCCUCCAACAAGAGACCAGAACAGGACACUAUUCACAAUCGCAAAGUUAUAGGGAGAAAACUACAACCUAAUAAUGGCAACAUUAACUCCAGGAAGAAUGGCUCUCUCAAUCAAACAGUUAAAAAGGACAUCCUGCAGAGGACCAGUUCUUACAACAGAAACAAAGAAAUUUCUUAUGCUAUCACUAAGGAGCUGAAUGAAAACCUGAAGCGUGGAGGAGGUUUGUUUCAGUCACAUGCUGUGAAGGGCCAGAGUCAUUCUCCUUCUCACUCCAGGCGUAAACCUGAGAGUAGUAGUUCCUGCUAUUUCCGGCAGACACCUAAAGCAUCAGUUAACACAGGGGAGCGGAUCAUCCACCAUCCUGAUCAGAAAAAAGAUAGACUGAAGAAUAGAGACCACAAAACCUCCUAUUGUAGCGACAUGUCCAUACAGAAAGUACAGAAAUUAAGCACCCCUCACCACAAAAGUAAUCCAGAGGGCAGGAUGUCCCUGUCUGUAAAGAGGAAAAGGGAGGGUAGUACAGAAAAUAAGAAGGAAAAGAAACGCCCAUGUGUUGAUUUCCAAUCCACUACCAGCUCUUCCAAACAUGCUUUCAUGAAGGGCAACAAUGAGUCUGUGAUAACUAUAAAGGAGAAACAGUCCCAUAAAAUACUUUCUGCUGCACCAAACAGCAACAACAAACCCAGACUUCCGCCUUCCCUCCCCAGGCAGCUGUUUAAACCAUGUAAGGACUCAAACAAAGCAAGCGACAAACCUAACUCAUUUCAACUCAGUAAAUCACCCUUGAUUGCAGAGCCAAAAGUCGCUAUGGUGGCACAUGCUAACAAAAAUCCCAAAGCUCCACCCAGCCAACCGCAUUUACGCAAAGUCUCUCCGAAGUCGAGCACAACGUUCGACAGCAUCGAGACACCACUCAUUACACCAGACUGUUGCUUACCAUCGCUCAAAACUCAUAAUAAAAAAACAAAUGCUGAGAGAGAAACUUGCACACAAACAAGCCCCUCUUCCAACCAUAAGGAGAGCGUUAAAAUUGUCUCGUCCCCCCAUCAUCCCGAUCUAAGAUCACCCUGCUUUGCAGGACAAGCCGGUUCAUGUAAGAUGCAAACGGAUGAAAGGACGCAGUUGAAAGUGGAGCAGUCAUGCAGCCCCAAGGCUAUCAUGCCUGACCCAGCAGUGUCGGUGAAUAUAGAAGGAUCAAGAGAACAGAAGUGCUGCCCCCAGUGGAAAGAUCCCUUAGAUAUUGAGUUGGGAGACGACUGCCAUAUCAGUCUGAGCAGCAGCAGCAGUGGUCAUGAAGAUGAACCGCUGCCAUCUCUGCAGAAGCUGAUGAGUCGGAGAGACCAUGUGCCUGUUACUCCCGAAAAAGAUGCUUUUUCAGAGCCCAACACACCUGUCUCAAAAGCAGCAGUAAGUUUAAGGAUGUUCAGAAAACAUGUCAUGACCUCAUAUGUCAUAAAUCAGUCUUUGACAUGCCUGAUUUUCACAAACACCUCUGUUUUUUUUUUUUUUAAAUUCAUCUAUAUUAGCCCGAGGCAGUGA